rnacentral:rRNA from 1 species
GAUGAACGCUGGCGGCGUGCCUAAUACAUGCAAGUCGAGCGAACAGACGAGGAGCUUGCUCCUCUGACGUUAGCCGCGGACGGGUGAGUAACACGUGGAUAACCUACCUAUAAGACUGGGAUAACUUCGGGAAACCGGAGCUAAUACCGGAUAAUAUAUUGAACCGCAUGGUUCAAUAGUGAAAGACGGUUUUGCUGUCACUUAUAGAUGGAUCCGCGCCGCAUUAGCUAGUUGGUAAGGUAACGGCUUACCAAGGCAACGAUGCGUAGCCGACCUGAGAGGGUGAUCGGCCACACUGGAACUGAGACACGGUCCAGACUCCUACGGGAGGCAGCAGUAGGGAAUCUUCCACAAUGGGCGAAAGCCUGACGGAGCAACGCCGCGUGAGUGAUGAAGGUCUUCGGAUCGUAAAACUCUGUUAUUAGGGAAGAACAAAUGUGUAAGUAACUAUGCACGUCUUGACGGUACCUAAUCAGAAAGCCACGGCUAACUACGUG